rnacentral:piRNA from 1 species
UCACAGCGUGUCCCUUGACAUAUUGGCUCA